rnacentral:rRNA from 1 species
CCAGCCAUGCCGCGUGUGUGAAGAAGGUCUUCGGAUUGUAAAGCACUUUCAGUNGGGAGGAAGGGCAGUAAGUUAAUACCUUGCUGUAUUGACGUUACCCACAGAAGAAGCACCGGCUAACUCCGUGCCAGCAGCCGCGGUAAUACGGAGGGUGCAAGCGUUAAUCGGAAUUACUGGGCGUAAAGCGCGCGCAGGCGGUUUGUUAAGUUGGAUGUGAAAUCCCCGGGCUCAACCUGGGAACUGCAUUCAAAACUGGCAAGCUAGAGUCUGGUAGAGGGGGGUGGAAUUUCNGGUGUAGCGGUGAAAUGCGUAGAGAUCNGGAGGAACACCCGGUGGCGAAGGCGACCCCCUGGACA